rnacentral:rRNA from 1 species
UACGGAGGGGGCUAGCGUUGUUCGGAAUUACUGGGCGUAAAGCGCACGUAGGCGGCUUUGUAAGUUAGAGGUGAAAGCCCGGGGCUCAACUCCGGAAUUGCCUUUAAGACUGCAUCGCUAGAAUUGUGGAGAGGUAAGUGGAAUUCCGAGUGUAGAGGUGAAAUUCGUAGAUAUUCGGAAGAACACCAGUGGCGAAGGCGACUUACUGGACACAUAUUGACGCUGAGGCGCGAAAGCGUGGGUAGCAAACAGG